rnacentral:rRNA from 1 species
CACGUAGGCGGCCUGGUAAUUCAGAUGUGAAAGCCCGGGGCUUAACCCCGGAAGUGCAUUUGAUACUGUCAGGCUUGAGUAUGGGAGAGGGAAGUGGAAUUCCUGGUGUAGAGGUGAAAUUCGUAGAUAUCAGGAGGAACACCGGUGGCGAAGGCGACUUCCUGGACCAAUACUGACGCUGAGGUGCGAAGGCGUGGGUAGCAAACAGGAUUAGAUACCCUGGUAGUCC